rnacentral:rRNA from 1 species
UACGGGGGGGGCAAGCGUUGUUCGGAAUAACUGGGCUUAAAGGGCGCGUAGGCGGGCUGUCAAGUCUGGGGUGAAAUCCCGCGGCUCAACCGCGGAACUGCCUCAGAUACUGACGGCCUCGAGGGAGGUAGGGGCGAGCGGAACGAAUGGUGGAGCGGUGAAAUGCGUUGAUAUCAGGAGGAACACCGGUGGCGAAGGCGGGUCUCUGGGCCGAUACUGACGCUGAGGAGCGAAAGCGUGGGGAGCGAACAGG